UACGUAGGGUGCGAGCGUUAAUCGGAAUUACUGGGCGUAAAGCGUGCGCAGGCGGCGCGUAAGACAGGUGUGAAAGCCCCGGGCUUAACUUGGGAAUUGCGCUUGUGACUGGCGUGCUGGAGUGUGGCAGAGGGAGGUGGAAUUCCGACAUGUAGCAGUGAAAUGCGUAGAGAUGUGGAGGAACACCGAUGGCGAAGGCAGC
rnacentral:rRNA from 1 species